rnacentral:tRNA from 1 species
GCCGAAGUGGUGAAAUUGGUAGACGCGCCGGACUCAAAAUCCGGUACCUUUGCGGGUGUGAGGGUUCGAGUCCCUCCUUCGGCA